rnacentral:tRNA from 1 species
ACUAAUUUAGUUUAAUUAAAAUAUUAACUUGUCAAGUUAAAGAUACAAAAACUUGUAAUUGGUU